rnacentral:rRNA from 1 species
CACGUAGGGCGCAAGCGUUGUCCGGAAUUAUUGGGCGUAAAGAGCUCGUAGGCGGUCUGUUACGUCUGCUGUGAAAACCCAGGGCUUAACCCUGGGCUUGCAGUGGAUACGGGCAGACUAGAGGCAGGUAGGGGAGAAUGGAAUUCCCGGUGUAGCGGUGAAAUGCGCAGAUAUCAGGAAGAACACCCGUGGCGAAGGCGGUUCUCUGGGACGGUACUGACGCUGAGACGCGAAAGCGUGGGGAGCAAACAGG